UUAUAAAGUGAAAGAAAAUCCAUGGCUUGCAAAUGUAUUAGAAAACUUUUGCUAGCGAUGAUAGAGUUGCCUAUCCUUUUUCUCUUAAAAGUGCAAGCUAAUGACCUUACCCAUAUCUCUUUCCACUCCUCUUCACCUCUCACUUUGCUUCCUCUUGUUUCUAAACUUGAUAAAGUUCAAACUAAUAACCUUGCCACUACCACUUUUGGUCCCUCUCUGAUGCCCAUCCUAUAUCCUCCUCACUCCUCUGAACAUGAUGAAGUUCAAGGAAAAAUACAUACAUGCAUUGCAAAUGCAAUUAAAGUUUGUAAAGAAACAUGGCCACUUUACAGCUUGUCUCACUUGAAUAAUGUUGUAGCUUGUAGUUUUUUUCUUCAUGGAGUAUGUUGGAGGAAACAAAGUGGGGGAAGAAAGAUGGGUUUUUAGUAUAUAGGGUGCAUAAGAACUUGCCUAGAUCAUCUAAUCGAUGUGGAGACUUGUUUCAAAAAAUGUUACACAAGUUUUUUCUAGAAGCACUCAAAUGUUGCCUAUGCACAGAAUCCUAACUGUAAAGUCUGGGUAUAUGUUCAUGCUUAGGACAUCAAAUAAUAUGGAUCAAAGAAAAUGUCAACUGCCUGUGGUGUUUUGCAGGUUCAGUACCAUGUUACUAGCUUCUUGACAUCCCAAGUGGAUAUGGUGGACUGGAAUCCCUUACAAUUUGAGAUCCCGUCCAAUUCCCGUUUCCCUUUAUAAUUGGUCAGAGAAAAUGAGGGGGCAUGAUACCUGCCCGGACAAUGGCUCUUUGUCCGAGCAGGAGGCCCACUGCCAUGCUUUCUGCUCGAGCAGGGAGCGCUCUCUCACAAGGGUAUGCAAUUCUCCUGCCUCCUCUUUCUUUGGACAGGAGAUUGCAGAAAAUCCCCAUCCGAAUUUGGUUCGCUCAAAAAUCUUAUACCUAUAAAGUAGAAGACACAUUCAAAUAACAUUGCAAAUUUCAUCCUAGACUGUAAAGAAAGAAAAGAAUACAUCUAAAAAGGUUCGUUAGAGGGACAGGGCCACAAACCAACAAGGAACAAAGUUAGGUGUUCUGCACUACUGUAUGUAUCUUGUCCUUCUUUGCUUGCAAAUUUAGCUGCAGAGGAGGAGACAUCCACCCGAAUUUGAUACAGUUGACCUUAUAAAAUACGUCUGUUCAUUGAAUCUUACAGGUAACACUUGGUUGUAAAAUAAUCACCUUACCAACGUGGGUUUUUGUCCUAAUUUUCAAUACCCAAAUCCAUUGCUAUAACUAUUGGUGCUCCUCCUUAAAAUAUGUUGACAAAGUUGUAGGGUUUCUAUUGACAAAUGGUCGGCGGUCGGUGGCUUUAAUUAGUUUUAGUGUAUAUAGAUUGUCCUCACUGGAAGGAAGAACCCCACUAUUGUAAACAUGACUUCCAAAGUCAUUGAUUGAAUUAGCUCAUGGCCUUGAUGUAAGAGAUACAAAAUAUUUAAUCUUGAGCUGCUAUACAAGCCAGGAUAUUAAGAUAAUAGCAGUUCAGCUUCCCGAUGAUACUGUAGUUUUUUUUAAGGCAACUGCAAUGACCAAUCUUACCCUACUGGUGGAAAAGAAAAUAUAAUUAUGAAGUUUUGCG